rnacentral:rRNA from 1 species
GACGAACGCUGGCGGCGUGCCUAACACAUGCAAGUCGAACGGGGUGUUCCUUCGGGGACACUUAGUGGCGAACGGGUGAGUCACGCGUGAGAAACCUGCCUUUCAGUGGGGGACAACAGUUGGAAACGACUGCUAAUACCGCAUAAUGUUAUUUAAGUGCAUCCUUGAAUAACCAAAGCUUUAUGUGCGGAAAGAUGGUGUCGCGGCUGAUUAGCUAGAUGGCGGGGUAACGGCCCACCAUGGAGACGAUAAGUAGCCGGUCUGAGAGGAUGAAAGGCCACAUUGGGACUGAGAUACGGACCAGACACCUACGGGAGGCAGCAGUGGGGGAUAUUGGGCAGUAGGGGAAACCCUGACGCAGCAACGCCGCGUGAAGGAAGAAGGCCUUCGGGUUGUAAACUUCUUUUACCAGGGACGAACACAAUGACGGUACCUGGAGAAAAAGCAACGGCUAACUACGUGCCAGCAGCCGCAGUAACAC